UAUAAGACAUGACGCUUUCGAAAUCAGCUGAUCCAAAAUAAAAUAAAUUUAAAGUGAUAUCCGGCUGUUAUUUUUUAAUAUAUUCAAAGUGAUUGGAACAUUAAAUUGUAGAUAAAUAUAAAUUAAUGAAAACUAAAGAAAUUCAAUUCAUAGUGCCUCCUAAUUUGGGACCGAGAAGGUAAUCUAGUAACGGAUGUCCAGAGCACACUGGGAAUAUGGAGGGAACACUUCUCCGUCCUGCUCAAUGUCAGUGAAAGUACAACACCAGGAGAUGGCGAACCCGAUUCCCCAAUCGAUGACGAUGGAAUAGAUGUUCCAUUACCCGACCAUGAAGAAAUUCGAAUAGCAAUUACCCGCUUGAAGAACAACAAAGCGGCGGGGGCCGAUGGAUUACCGGCCGAGCUAUUCAAAUACGGCGGCGAAGAACUAAUAAGGUCAUGCAUCAGCUUCUUUGUAGAAUAUGGUCGGAAGAAAGCAUGCCUGACGAUUGGAAUCUUAGUGUGCUCUGCCCAAUCCAUAAGAAGGGAGACCCCACAAUCUGCGCCAACUACCGUGGUAUAAGUCUCCUCAAUAUCGCAUAUAAGGUUUCGUCGAGCGUAUUGUGUGAAAGACUAAAGCCCACCGUCAACGAACUGAUUGGACCUUAUCAGUGUGGCUUUAGACCUGGAAAAUCCACAAUGGACUAGAUAUUCACCAUGCGCCAAAUCUUGGAUAAGACCCGAGAGAGAAGAAUCGAUACUCACCAUCUUUUUAUCGAUUUUAAAGCUGCCUUCGAUAGCACGAAAAGGAGCUGCCUUUAUGCCGCGAUGUCUGAAUUUGGUAUCCCUGCAAAACUAAUACGGCUAUGUAAGCUGACGUUGAGCAACACCAAAAGCUCCGUCAGGAUCGGGAAGGACCUCUCCGAGCCGUUCGAUACCAAACGAGGCUUCAGACAGGGUUACUCACUAUCGUGCGACUUCUUCAAUCUAUUGCUGGAAAAAAUAAUACGAGCUGCAGAACUAAAUAGAGAGGGUACAAUCUUCUACAAGAGUGUACAGCUCCUGGCGUAUGCCGAUGAUAUUGAUAUCGUCGGAAGCAACAACCGCGCCGUUUGUUCUGCGUUUUCCAGACUAGAUAAAGAAGCGAAGCGUAUGGGUCUGGUGGUGAAUGAGGACAAGACGAAAUAUCUCCUGUCAUCAAACACACAGUCAGCGCACUCGCGUCUUGGUUCCCACGUCACUGUUGACAGUCAUAACUUUGAAGUUGUAGAUAAUUUCGUUUAUCUGGGAACCAGCAUUAACAACACCAACAAUGUCAGCCUUGAAAUCCAACGCAGAAUCACUCUUGCCAACAGGUGCUACUUUGGACUGAGUAGGCAAUUGAAAAGUAAAGUCCUCUCUUGACGAACCAAAAUCAAACUCUAUAAGUCGCUCAUUAUUCCCGUCCUGAUGUAUGGCGCUGAAGCGUGGACGAUGACAACAUCCGAUGAGACGACUCUUGGGGUUUUCGAGAGAAAGGUUUUGCGCAAGAUUUAUGGUCCUCUAAACAUUGGCAAUGGCGAAUACCGCAGACGAUGGAACGGUGAGCUGUACGAUUUAUACGACGACAUUGACAUAGUUCAGCGAAUAAAAAGACAGCGGCUACGCUGGCUAGGUCAUGUUGUACGGAUGGAAGAAAACACUCCAGCUCUGAAAGUAUUCGAUGCAGUACCCGCUAGAGGAAGUCGCGGAAGAGGACGACCUCCACUCCGGUGGAAAGACCAAGUGCAAAGUGACCUGGCUUCACUUGGUGUUUCCAGUUGGCGCCAAAAAGCAAAAAGGAGGAAUGAGUGGCGUGCUAUAUAUAUAUAUAUAUAUAUAAAGAACAUGGGCUACAUGCUGACACUGUUUAUGCUUGUAGUUGCUCAUCGAUUCUCCGCGUAAUAUUAAAAUGAUUUCAAAAAAAAUUUAAACGUGUCUUGCUUUUGAAGCAUGCAUAAAAAUACUUACUGCGUCAAUAGUAUUUGAAACAAAAUUUUUGCUUGUUAUUAGCACUUAGUGAGAUUUGGUAGUGUCUGAUAGUAAAACUGAAUACGAAUCAUAUUACAUACUUACGUGCAGAUAAGCGUUUAAAUCAACCAAGUCUGUGAAAUGUACAUAUAAGUAUAAUACUUCCAACAUUUAUUUCGAUUCGUUGUGUGCUUUGUAAAAUUGAAUUUAUAAAUUUCCUUUUCUACAAAGCGUUGUACGAAAAUUCUUAACAAUUACAAUUUUAAAAUAGUGUAAACAAUUUUCGUUAGUAAAUUAGAUUAGGGUGUUUUCGUUAGACAUAAUUUUGUUAAAUGUACAGCUAACUCUUAUCCUGCUUACUCGCGCUAUGAGGCGUAACUCUCGUUGAGCUAUUUAAAGCUAUGCACUUGAGGAGCUUGAGUACUUCGAAAUUACUUUUGUAUGCGAGACAAAAGUAACAAAAGCCGCAUGCUCCACGACGCUGCUCAAAAAUAAUUUGGAAACGUCUAUUCCAAAAUUCAAAUACUCGGUCAACUGCUUUUAUAUGCAUCGGUCGUAUUUCAUAUACUACCAAAUUAUAAUUCUGCUGGAGGAAGGUGUUGUUGUUUUUGCUAAUAUUAAAUCACGUAUUUCGUCGUCAUCUAAGUCGUUACUAAAUGCGCGUAUAAG